UACGUAGGUCCCGAGCGUUGUCCGGAUUUAUUGGGCGUAAAGCGAGCGCAGGUGGUUUAUUAAGUCUGGUGUAAAAGGCAGUGGCUCAACCAUUGUAUGCAUUGGAAACUGGUAGACUUGAGUGCAGGAGAGGAGAGUGGAAUUCCGUGUGUAGCGGUGGAAUGCGUAGAUAUAUGGAGGAACACCGGUGGCGAAAGCGGCUCUCUGGUCUGUAACUGACGCUGAGGCUCGAAAGCGUGGGUAGCGAACAGG
rnacentral:rRNA from 1 species